GACAGAGGGGGCAAGCGUUGCUCGGAAUCACUGGGCGUAAAGGGCGCGUAGGCGGGAUGGCAAGUCGGUCGUGAAAUCCUUCGGCUCAACCGAAGAACGUCGGCCGAUACUGCCGUUCUUGAGGGAUGCAGAGGAGAUUGGAAUUCCCGGUGUAGCGGUGAAAUGUGUAGAGAUCGGGAGGAACACCGGUGGCGAAGGCGGCUAUCUGGACAGAGUCUGACGCUGAGGCGCGAAAGCUAGGGGAGCAAACAGG
rnacentral:rRNA from 1 species